rnacentral:rRNA from 1 species
GACGAACGCUGGCGGCGUGCUUAACACAUGCAAGUCGAACGAUGAAGCCGGAGCUUGCUCCGGUGGAUUAGUGGCGAACGGGUGAGUAACACGUGAGCAAUCUGCCCUUGACUCUGGGAUAACUGCGGGAAACUGUAGCUAAUACCGGAUACGACACCUUGGGGCAUCCCAGGGUGUGGAAAGAAUUUCGGUCAAGGAUGAGCUCGCGGCCUAUCAGCUAGUUGGUGAGGUAAUGGCUCACCAAGGCGACGACGGGUAGUCGGCCUGAGAGGGUGACCGGCCACACUGGAACUGAGACACGGUCCAGACUCCUACGGGAGGCAGCAGUGGGGAAUUUUGGACAAUGGGGGCAACCCUGAUCCAGCCAUUCCGCGUGUGCGAUGAAGGCCUUCGGGUUGUAAAGCACUUUUGGCAGGAAAGAAAUCGCACGGAUUAAUACUCUGUGUGGAUGACGGUACCUGCAGAAUAAGCACCGGCUAAC